rnacentral:sRNA from 20 species
AUUUAAGUUUUCUAGGGUUCCGCAGCUUGUAGAUGGCAGGUCCGAGAGAAAACACACAGUUGACUGUGUACACGGAAGGAUAAAAGCCUGGGAGAU